AACGUAGGAGACGAACGUUAUCCGGAGUUACUGGGCGUAAAGGGCGUGUAGGCGGUUUGUUAAGUCUGAUGUGAAAGCCCGGGGCUCACCCCCGGAAGGGCAUUGGAAACUGGCGGACUCGAGUCCCGGAGAGGAAGGUGGAAUUCCUGGUGUAGCGGUGAAAUGCGUAGAUAUCAGGAGGAAUACCGGUGGCGAAGGCGGCCUUCUGGACGGUGACUGACGCUGAGACGCGAAAGCGUGGGGAGCAAACAGG
rnacentral:rRNA from 1 species